ACACUGUAGCUCAAUUGGUAGAGCGUCGGACUCAUGACCCGGAGGUAGCUGGAUCGAAGCCAGCCAAGUGUU
rnacentral:tRNA from 2 species